rnacentral:rRNA from 1 species
AACGAACGCUGGCGGCAGGCUUAACACAUGCAAGUCGAGCGCCCCGCAAGGGGAGCGGCAGACGGGUGAGUAACGCGUGGGAAUCUACCCAUCUCUACGGAAUAACGCAUGGAAACGUGUGCUAAUACCGUAUACGUCCUUCGGGAGAAAGAUUUAUCGGAGAUGGAUGAGCCCGCGUUGGAUUAGCUAGUUGGUGGGGUAAAGGCCUACCAAGGCGACGAUCCAUAGCUGGUCUGAGAGGAUGAUCAGCCACACUGGGACUGAGACACGGCCCAGACUCCUACGGGAGGCAGCAGUGGGGAAUAUUGGACAAUGGGCGCAAGCCUGGUCCAGCCAUGCCGCGUGAGUGAUGAAGGCCCUAGGGUUGUAAAGCUCUUUCACCGGUGAAGAUAAUGACGGUAACCGGAGAGGAAGCCCCGGCUAACUUCGUGCCAGCAGCCGCAGUAAGAC